UACGGGGGGGGCAAGCGUUGUUCGGAAUUACUGGGCGUAAAGCGUGCGUAGGCGGCCUUGAAAGUUAGGUGUGAAAUCCCACAGCUCAACUGUGGAACUGCGCUUAAACUACAAGGCUAGAGGGAUAUAGAGGUGAGCAGAACAGAUGGUGGAGCGGUGAAAUGCGUUGAUAUCAUCUGGAAUACCGGAGGCGAAGGCGGCUCACUGGGUAUCUUCUGACGCUGAGGUACGAAAGCUAGGGGAGCGAACGGG
rnacentral:rRNA from 1 species